UAAUCUAUACUUGGUUUUGGCUUCUGUGG
rnacentral:piRNA from 1 species